UGAAGGAAGCCCGAUCAGGCUUAGGUCGGGACGGAGACCAGACGGGAUCUUUCGCAAGGCUGCGAGGUCGACGGGAGCAGGAGACCGGCGAGCUUCGGAUCGGCCGACGAAGGAGUUCGCUGGAGGCUCCGACGUCUGGGAGGAAACAGGCGUAGGUAAUCGGUUCUUCUAGGGCACGACGGGUUCGGUCGUUGGAGUAGAUGGAGGCUAGCGAUUGGUCGGCGCCGAUUUGCGAGAGGGCAAGUAGAAAAGAAGUAAGAAGAAGAAGCGCAUCUUUCCGCUUACAAAGAUUCUAAAGCAUAGGUGCAACACUACUAUUUCCUUUGACUGCUCUGGGGUUCCCUUUCCAGUAGACAAGAUUGGCACUCCAUUACAAUUUUCAAAAACUGUUCCAAGUGAGAGAGAAAUGAAUCCUAGCAAUCAAACACGCUUUAGAAGAUCUAGAAGGAGGAGAAAGGCUAAGUCUAGAGUCUCCAAAAUAGUGGAUGAUCAUGCUGCCCCUGUGAGAGUUGCUCAGCAUUGUUUUACAAGUUUGGAUCAGAAUCGAAAAGCUAGUUUUCUCCCAACAUCAAGCACUAGCAAAGAGCCUUUUUCUGCUUCAUUUGAAGCUGCUGGAAGUUGUGAGAUCCCUUCAUCUGAAAAAAAUGCUAAUUUGCUGCUUCAGGUGGAUUCAGCUCUGGAUAAUCGAAAAAUCACAAAUAUAAGGUAUUAUAGAAGGUCCAGAAAGAGAGGGAAGGGUGGUCACUGUGAUGCACAACACAUGGCACACUCUUUGCUACAACCUCAAUCAGAUUUCAGCUCAAACCAUUCAUCUGCCAUACAAAUACCAGAUAGAGGAAAUUAUUCAGAGAAUGCAGAUGGCAUUCGAUUGCCUGCAGCUAAUAAAUUGGUAUUAUCAGCUGAAAAAGAAAAAUAUUCUUUGAUAAAUGCUACAUUUGAUGACUCUAAAAUCGUUUGUAUUUCCUCUGAGGUCAAUAAGGAUUCUCCUAAUUGUUCUGAUAUUGGAAAACAUGGAAAGAAAAUCAACAAGGCAAGAAGGCAGGAUAUGAAGUGCUUGAGAAAUGAAGUUCAUGAAAAUCACAGAGACACUGCUAGUUUGCCUGACCGUAUCAUUUAUAAAGUUGAAAAAGCAUUGAGAAACCCUUUUAGAAAGAAGUUGCUUGUCCUUGACCUCAAUGGUAUUCUCUGUGAUGUUGUUUUUGGCUCUCAUGGCUCUUGUUUGCCAUAUAAAAGGGUUAACAUGCGAUCAGUUUUCAAGAGGCCAUUCUUGGAUGAUUUUCUUACCUUCUGCUUUGAGAGAUUUGUUGUAGGCAUCUGGUCUUCAAGAAACAAGAAUAACAUCAUUGGAGUCAUCAAUUAUAUAAUGGGGGAUUCCAAAGAUAGAUUACUGUUUUGCUGGGAUCAAUCUAAAUGUACAGUUACUGGUUUUAAUACAAUUGAGAAUAGCCAUAAACCAUUGGUAUUGAAGGAGUUGAUUAAAUUGUGGGACAAAGAGGAAGCUAGCCUUCCAUGGGAUAAGGGGGAGUACUCUCCAUCUAAUACUUUGUUGGUUGAUGAUUCACCAUACAAGGCCCUCUGCAAUCCUCCACACACUGCCAUUUUUCCUUUUCCAUAUGAUUUCCGAGAUGAACGCGAUAACUGUUUAGGGCCAGGAGGAGCUAUUCGACUUUAUCUGGAGAGCAUUGCCAGUGCUGAUGAUGUCCAAAAGCACGUUAAAAAACACUCAUUUGGCCAACAGGCUAUAACAUCUAAAGAUAAAAUGUGGAGCUUUUAUGAGAAGAUCAUAGACAAGAACAACUCCAUGGCUUUAAGCCGACAAAGCUAGUGAUGACUAUUGAUUUUCUUGUGAUUUAAUGGCAUUUCUGAGAUGAGCAACAUGUCUAAUGUUCCAGAUUUGGCCUAAAGUUCUGAGUAUGGUCAAGCUGAUUGCUCCCAGAAAGGAAACUUUUCUUGAUUUUAUGAAAGAAUGAAGACGGUAAAGAUUCAUCUCAUGUUCUUUACUUCCCAUCUCCCAAACACAAACGAGAUCAUUACAUUUAUGUUUCAUUGCAAGUGUUUGGAUCUUAGUUACUGAUAGAUUUUGGAGAGAAAUCACUUGGAAAAACCACUGGCUCGCCAUUUGUACACCUAAACCGAUCUAGAAUGGACUGGUUCAGCCGGGCCGGCCUAACAGUUACAAGUUUUUAGCCAUGAAGAUUGAAAUUCAUUAACUUUUCUUAUGAUUAGUUUCAAGAAUAUGACAGUUUAAACUUGUUCUUGAAAGGAAGAUUCAAUAUAAUGAGAUAAACUAAUCUUAAUUACUCUAACUGAAUGGAACAGAUGAAUUAAUGAUUGAUCUUUUAAAAU